rnacentral:misc_RNA from 1 species
GAUGAAGAACGCAGCGAAAUGCGACAAGUAAUGUGAAUUGCAGAAUUCCGUGAAUCAUCGAAUCUUUGAACGCACAUUGCGCCCUCUGGUAUUCCGAAGGGUAUGCUCGUUUGAGUGUCAUUGUACUCUCACACUUCUAAUUCCUUUCGGGAUUGGGAGCGGUGGACUUGGGUGUUGCUGCUUUAGUUGUGGCUCACCUCAAAUAAGUUAGUGCAACUCUUGGUUGGACAUAGUACGGCGUGAUAAGUGUCUUCGCCGGCGCCUCUGUAAGGAGGGUGGCCGAUCGGGAGCUCUGUGCUUCAAACCGUCUUCGGACAAUCUUUGACAACUUGACCUCAAAUCGAGUAGGACUACCCGCUGAACUUAAGCAUAUCAAUAAGCGGAGGA